UUUUCUCCUGUUUUUCAAAAACAUGUCUAUUUGGAGGUAUAAAAAGUCUGACCUGCCCACUGAUAAAGUUUAAUAAUUUAAGGGCCGCGGUAUUAUGACUGUGCAAAGGUAGCAUAAUCAUUUGGUUUUUAAAUGAGAUCUUGUAUGAAUGGUUUGACAAAGGAAAAACUGUCUUUAAGUUAAUAUUUGAAUUUAACUUUUAAGUGAGAAGGCUUAAAUAUUUUAGGAGGACGAUAAGACCCUAUAAAGCUUUAUAUUGUAAUUAUAUUUAAUUAAAUUUUUUAUAUAAAAGUUUUAUAUAAUUAUUUAUUUUGUUGGGGAGACAUAAGUAAAAAUAAUAGUAACUGCUUAAAAGAUAAACAUAUAUUAAUGGAGAAUUAUUGAUCCUAUUUAUAGAUUUAAAGAUUAAGUUACUUUAGGGGAUAAAAAGAAAGAAAG
rnacentral:rRNA from 1 species